GAUGAACGCUGGCGGCGUGCCUAAUACAUGCAAGUCGAGCGAACGGACGAGAAGCUUGCUUCUCUGAUGUUAGCGGCGGACGGGUGAGUAACACGUGGAUAACCUACCUAUAAGACUGGGAUAACUUCGGGAAACCGGAGCUAAUACCGGAUAAUAUUUUGAACCGCAUGGUUCAAAAGUGAAAGACGGUCUUGCUGUCACUUAUAGAUGGAUCCGCGCUGCAUUAGCUAGUUGGUAAGGUAACGGCUUACCAAGGCAACGAUGCAUAGCCGACCUGAGAGGGUGAUCGGCCACACUGGAACUGAUACACGGUCCAGACUCCUACGGGAGGCAGCAGUAGGGAAUCUGCCGCAAUGGGCGAAAGCCUGACGGAGCAACGCCGCGUGAUUGAUGAAGGUCUUCGGAUCGUAAAACUCUGUUAUUAGGGAAGAACAUAUGUGUAAGUAACUGUGCACAUCUUGACGGUACCUAAUCAGAAAGCCACGGCUAACUACGUG
rnacentral:rRNA from 1 species